rnacentral:rRNA from 1 species
CAGGUGCGAGGGCAUAUAGUCCUCGCUUUUCUCGACCGUAGGGAGGUCGAGGAACAAGUGCUGGGCAAGACCGGUGCCAGCCGCCGCGGUAAUACCGGCAGCACAAGUGAUGACCGCUGUUAUUGGGCCUAAAGCGUCCGUAGCUGGCCAGACAAGUUCAUCGGGAAAUCUGUGCGCCUAACGCACAGGCGUCCGGUGGAAACUGCCUGGCUUGGGACCGGAAGACCAGAGGGGUACGUCUGGGGUAGGAGUGAAAUCCCGUAAUCCUGGACGGACCACCGGUGGCGAAAGCGCCUCUGGAAGACGGAUCCGACGGUGAGGGACGAAAGCUCGGGUCACGAACCGGAUUAAUACCCGGGUAGUCCGAGCUGUAAACGAUGUCUGCUAGGUGUGACACAGGCUACGAGCCUGUGUUGUGCCGUAGGAAGCCGUGAAGCAGACCGCCUGGGAAGUACGUCCGCAAGGAUGAAACUUAAAGGAAUUGGCGGGGGAGCACA